rnacentral:rRNA from 1 species
GACGAACGCUGGCGGCGUGCUUAACACAUGCAAGUCGAACGGAAAGGCCCUGCUUUUGUGGGGUGCUCGAGUGGCGAACGGGUGAGUAACACGUGAGUAACCUGCCCUUGACUUUGGGAUAACUUCAGGAAACUGGGGCUAAUACCGGAUAGGAGCUCCUGCUGCAUGGUGGGGGUUGGAAAGUUUCGGCGGUUGGGGAUGGACUCGCGGCUUAUCAGCUUGUUGGUGGGGUAGUGGCUUACCAAGGCUUCGACGGGUAGCCGGCCUGAGAGGGUGACCGGCCACAAUGGGACUGAGAUACGGACCAGACUCCUACGGGAGGCAGCAGGGGGGAGUAUUGCACAAUGGGCGGAAGCCUGAUGCAGCGACGCCGCGUGCGGGAUGACGGCCUUCGGGUUGUAAACCGCUUUCGCCUGUGACGAAGCGUGAGUGACGGUAAUGGGUAAAGAAGCACCGGCUAACUACGUG